GCCAGAUAAGGGAGUAAAAGCAGGCCACGGAAGCCAGCAGUGGCAACCCACUUGGGUCCCUUUCAAUGCCAUGGAAGCUUUGUUCUUUCACUCUUGGCAAUAAAUCUUGCUGCUGCUCACUCUUUGGGUCUGCCCUGCUGUUAUGAGCUGUAACGCUCACAGCGAGGGUCUGCAGUUUCACUCCUGAAGCCAGCAAGACCACAAACCCACCAGGAGGGACAAACAACUCCGGACGGGAGGAAUGAACAACUCCGGACGCGCCACUUUUAUGAACUUUUAUGAACUGUAACACUCACCACAAAGGUCUGCAGCUUCAUCCCUGAGGCCAGGGAGACCACAAACCCACCGGAAGGAAUGAACAACUCCAGACGCACUGCCUUUAAGAGCUGUAACACUUACCGCGGAGGUCUGCGGCUUCACUCCUGAAGUCAGCGAGACCACAAACCCAACAGAAGGAAGAAACUCCGGACACAUCUGAACAUCUGAAGGAACAAACUCCGGACACACCAUCUUUAAGAACUAUAACACUCACCGCGAGGGUCCACCGCUUCAUUCUUGAAGUCAGCGAGACCAAGAACCCACCAAUUCCGGCUGAAGUGGAGUGUCAUGAUCUUGGCUCACUGCAGCCUCCGCCUCCCAAGUUCAAGCAAUUCUCCUGCCUCAGCCUCCCAAGUAGUUGGGAUUACAGAGUUUCAUCAUUUUUGGCCAGGCUGGCCUUGAAUGCCUAACCUCAAAUGAUCCACCUGCCUUGGCCUCCCGAAGUGCUGGGAGUUACAGGUGUGAGUCACCAUGCCUGGCUCCACAUAAAAUUAUUUUGUCAUUAACAUUACAUUUUAAAAUACAAACGCUGUUUUCCACACUACUCAGGUCAGAUCUUUUACCCCACUUCACUCAGUGGGAUUGCAUUGUUUAUUUCCAUCUCUAUAAUCUACUGUUCAUCCAUCCAUCUAUCCAUCCCUUAAUUUAGUUUGUUUGCUACAGUCUGCAUUUGAUUCUUUUGAGGGUGUAUGCUUGUGUUUGUGCAUGGAAGUUGGUGUGUGUGUGUGUGUUCAAAAAGGUCUACAAUUCCCUUUUUCUGUAAUAUCUGUGUCUGCUCUUGGUAUUACAGUAAUGCUGAACUCAUAGAGUAUGUGAAAAGUUUUCUACAUUAUUUGAUUUUUCUGAAAGAAAUUGUGCAGAAUUCAUAUUAUUUCUUUCUUAAAUGCUCAAGUGUUUAUUAAAAUUUACCAGUAAAA